rnacentral:rRNA from 1 species
UACAGAGGGUGCGAGCGUUGUCCGGAAUCACUGGGCGUAAAGGGCGCGUAGGCGGCCCGGUAAGGUUGCGGUGAAAGCCCGGGGCUCAACCCCGGGUCGGCCGUGGCAACUGCUGGGCUGGAGCACAGUAGAGGCGGGUGGAAUUCCGGGUGUAGCGGUGGAAUGCGUAGAGAUCCGGAAGAACACCGGUGGCGAAGGCGGCCCGCUGGGCUGUUGCUGACGCUGAGGCGCGACAGCGUGGGGGAGCAAACAGG